GGUUGACCUCGGAUCAGGUAGGGAUACCCGCUGAACUU
rnacentral:rRNA from 15 species